GUGGCUCAGUGGUAGAGCAUUGGUUUUGUACACUGGAGGUUGCUAGUUCAACCCCGGGCACCUCCA
rnacentral:tRNA from 1 species